rnacentral:rRNA from 1 species
UCGGGAAUUUUGGGCAAUGGGCGCAAGCCUGUCCCAGCGACGCCGCGUGAGCGAUGAAGGCCUUCGGGUCGUAAAGCUCUGUCGGAAGGGAAGAUGGGAGCGAAGGCGAAUAGCCCAGCUCUUGACGGUACCUUCAAAGGAAGCGCCGGCUAACUCCGUGCCAGCAGCCGCGGUAAUACGGAGGGCGCAAGCGUUGUUUGGAAUCACUGGGCGUAAAGCGCGUGUAGGCGGUCAGGACAGUCGGAUGUGAAAUCCGGGGGCUCAACCUCGGUACUGCAUUCGAAACUACCUGGCUAGAGUCUCGGAGAGGAAGGCGGAAUUCCCGGUGUAGGGGUGAAAUCCGUAGAUAUCGGGAGGAACACCAGUGGCGAAGGCGGCCUUCUGGACGAUGACUGACGCUGAGACGCGAAAGCGUAGGGAGCAAACAGGAUUAGAUACCCCGGUAGUCC